ACACCUCAACUCUCAUGGCUUGCCAUGAUGAGCUUGGACUUUGGGGGUCUUGCUGGCCUGUGGUCGGCUCCUCUCAAAUGAAUCAGCUUGCCAGUGUUUGGUGGCAUCACAAGUGUGAUAACUAUCUGCGCUUGUGGUUUCCAUCAGAUAACCUCCAGUGAUGGAGGUUCGCUGGAGCUCAUAAAUGUCUCUCCUAAGUGAGGACAGCUCUUUUAAU
rnacentral:misc_RNA from 2 species